AACGCGAAGAACCUUACCUGGAUUUGACAUACUUCUGCACGGCCUGUGAAAGCAGGCUUCCUUCGAGGGUGAAGUACAGGUGCUGCAUGGCUGUCGUCAGUUCGUGCCGUGAGGUGUUUGGUUAAGUCCACCAACGAACGCAACCCCUUUGCGAUGUUGCCAGCGGGUCAUGCCGGGAACUCGUCGCAUACUGCUCGUUUACGCGAGAGGAAGGUGGGAAUGACGUCAAGUCAGUAUGGCCCUUACAUCCAGGGCUGCACACGUGCUACAAUGGCCGGUACAGAGCGAAGCGAGACCGCAAGGUGGAGCGAAUCGCACAGAGCCGGCCUCAGUUCAGAUUGGGGUCUGCAACCCGACCCCAUGAAGUCGGAUUUGCUAGUAACGGCGUAUCAGCUACGACGCCGUGAAUGCGUUCCCGGGUCUUGUACACACGC
rnacentral:rRNA from 1 species